rnacentral:rRNA from 1 species
AUGUAAAGCUCUAUCAGCAGGGAAGAAAAUGACGGUACCUGACUAAGAAGCCCCGGCUAACUACGUGCCAGCAGCCGCGGUAAUACGUAGGGGGCAAGCGUUAUCCGGAUUUACUGGGUGUAAAGGGAGCGUAAACUGCACUGCAAGUCUGGAGUGAAAGCCCGGGGCUCAACCCCGGGACUGCUUUGGAAACUGUGGUGCUAGAGUGCAGGAGAGGUAAGUGGAAUUCCUAGUGUAGCGGUGAAAUGCGUAUAUAUUAGGAGGAACACCAGUGGCGAAGGCGGCUUACUGGACUGUAACUGACGUUGAGGCUCGAAAGCGUGGGGAGCAAACAGGAUUAGAUACCCUGGUAGUCCACGCCAUAAACGAUGAAUACUAGGUGUUGGGGAGCAAAGCUCUUCGGUGCCGCCGCUAACGCAAUAAGUAUUCCACCUGGGGAGUACGUUC